CUCCUCCCUUGCCGAGACCACCGCCAGGACCACCUCCUGUUACCCGACCUCCACCACCUCCUCCCCCACUGAGACCUCCUCCUGUGGCAAGACCACCACCUCCUGGCCCUGCGUAUCAACCUCCACCGCCUCUUCCUC